rnacentral:rRNA from 1 species
GACGAACGCUGGCGGCGUGCCUAAUACAUGCAAGUAGAACGCACAGUUUAUACCGUAGCUUGCUACACCAUAGACUGUGAGUUGCGAACGGGUGAGUAACGCGUAGGUAACCUGCCUGGUAGCGGGGGAUAACUAUUGGAAACGAUAGCUACUACCGCAUAAUAUUAAUUAUUGCAUGAUAAUUAAUUGAAAGGUGCAAUUGCACCACUACCAGAUGGACCUGCGUUGUAUUAGCUAGUAGGUGAGGUAACGGCUCACCUAGGCGACGAUACAUAGCCGACCUGAGAGGGUGAUCGGCCACACUGGGACUGAGACACGGCCCAGACUCCUACGGGAGGCAGCAGUAGGGAAUCUUCGGCAAUGGACGAAAGUCUGACCGAGCAACGCCGCGUGAGUGAAGAAGGUUUUCGGAUCGUAAAGCUCUGUUGUAAGAGAAGAACGGGUGUGAGAGUGGAAAGUUCACACUGUGACGGUAUCUUACCAGAAAGGGACGGCUAACUACGUG